UCAGAUGAGCCUAGGUCGGAUUAGCUAGUUGGUGAGGUAAUGGCUCACCAAGGCGACGAUCCGUAACUGGUCUGAGAGGAUGAUCAGUCACACUGGAACUGAGACACGGUCCAGACUCCUACGGGAGGCAGCAGUGGGGAAUAUUGGACAAUGGGCGAAAGCCUGAUCCAGCCAUGCCGCGUGUGUGAAGAAGGUCUUCGGAUUGUAAAGCACUUUAAGUUGGGAGGAAGGGCAGUAAAUUAAUACUUUGCUGUUUUGACGUUACCGACAGAAUAAGCACCGGCUAACUCUGUGCCAGCAGCCGCGGUAAUACAGAGGGUGCAAGCGUUAAUCGGAAUUACUGGGCGUAAAGCGCGCGUAGGUGGUUUGUUAAGUUGGAUGUGAAAUCCCCGGGCUCAACCUGGGAACUGCAUUCAAAACUGACUGACUAGAGUAUGGUAGAGGGUGGUGGAAUUUCCUGUGUAGCGGUGAAAUGCGUAGAUAUAGGAAGGAACACCAGUGGCGAAGGCGACCACCUGGACUAAUAC
rnacentral:rRNA from 1 species